UAGUCCACGCCGUAAACGAUGAUUACUAGCUGUUUGUGAUAGACAAUAAGCGGCAAAGCGAAAGCAUUAAGUAAUCCACCUGGGGAGUACGUUGGCAACAAUGAAACUCAAAGGAAUUGACGGGGGCCCGCACAAGCGGAGGAACAUGUGGUUUAAUUCGAUGAUACGCGGGGAACCUUACCUGGACUUAAAUGUAGAUUGACAGGCUUAGAGAUAGGCUUUUCUUCGGACAAUUUACAAGGUGCUGCAUGGUUGUCGUCAGCUCGUGCCGUGAGGUGUCGGGUUAAGUCCCAUAACGAGCGCAACCCACGUCUUUAGUUACCAGCACGUUAAGGUGGGCACUCUAGAGAGACUGCCGGUGUAAACCGCGAGGAAGGUGUGGAUGACGUCAAAUCAGCACGGCCCUUACGUCCAGGGCUACACACGUGUUACGAAUGGUCGGUACAGAGGGCAGCUACUAUGUGAAUAGAUGCGAAUCUCGAAAACCGGUCUCAGUUCGGAUCGAAGUCUGCAACCCG
rnacentral:rRNA from 1 species